GUGAGGAAUUUUCCGCAAUGGGCGAAAGCCUGACGGAGCAAUGCCGCGUGAAGGAUGAAGGCCUAUGGGUUGUAAACUUCUUUUCUCAGAAAAGAAUUAUGACGGUAUCUGAGGAAUAAGCAUCGGCUAACUCUGUGCCAGCAGCCGCGGUAAGACAGAGGAUGCAAGCGUUAUCCGGAAUGAUAGGGCGUAAAGUGUCUGUAGGUUGUUUAAAAAGUAUUCUGUCAAAGAUUAGGGCUUAACCCUAGAUAGGCAGAAUAAACUUUUAAGCUAGAGUUUGGUAGAGGCAGAGGUAAUUGCCGGUGGAGCGGUGAAAUGCGUAGAUAUCGGGAGGAACACCAAAGGCGAAGGCACUCUGCUGGGCCAAUACUAACACUGAGAGACGAAAGCGAGGGGAGCAAAUGGGAUUAGAAACCCUAGUAGUCC
rnacentral:rRNA from 1 species